GGACUAUUAGCUCAGUUGGUCAGAGCAUCGCAUAUGAUUAAUAAGCGAAGGUCACGGGUUCGAUCCCCUCAUGGUCCA
rnacentral:tRNA from 1 species